CUCAUUAGUACCUAUGAGUUUCUAUGCUUAACUAUGAUCUUCCGUCUUAUUUGAAAAAUUUUUAUGGUUAGCAUUUUUCUAUUAUUAGACGAUAAACAUAAAUAUUACUUUAUGCAUGACUUUUAUUUUUAAUUUUAUUAAAAAAAGUAAAUAAGACGGACGAUCGAAGUUAGGCACCGAAAAUUAUGGCUAUACUUAGA
rfam:Oryza glaberrima chromosome 11 Oglab11_0269_2, whole genome shotgun sequence.